UGGUGGAGUGAUUUGUCUGGUUAAUUCCGUUAGCGAACGAGACCUCAGCCUGCUAACUAGUUACACGAAGGAUCCUCUUCGUGGCCAACUUCUUAGAGGGACUAUGGCCGUCUAGGCCAUGGAAGUUUGAGGCAAUAACA
rnacentral:rRNA from 1 species